rnacentral:lncRNA from 1 species
GAUGGAGAAGGAAGAGAUGAGCAGACACCUGAUUGCCCAAGUGGCUUCACUCCAAGGGGCUCCUCCUGCUUCACCCUCUCUGAUGAUUCAUGGAGAUGUCUGCUAUGUCCAGCACUAAACAUCCUGGUAACUUUUUCCUUGGAAGCACAAGUGGGGCAGGCAGGCAGGUGGAAGCCCCAGAAGGGAUGGAGUGAUCAGCUCCAGCUCCACCCUUUUCAUGCAGGGAAAUUGUAAAGGCUGAGAACGUUUCUGUCUGAGUGGAUUGAGCAGGACUUUGAACUGGAUGCUCCGUGGAAAAAGGGACUAAGACAUUUUUAGCCCUUGCUGGAAGUGUUCAAAGCCAGGUUGGAGGGGCUUGCAGGCAGUCCCUGUCCCUGGCAGGGGGUUGGAAUGAGAUGGUUUUUAAUAUUCAUUCCCACCCAAACCAUUCAAUGAUUUUAUGAUUUAAGACUUUGUAGGCAACCAAGUUAUGCAUUUCCUGUCCCCAUGAAUAUCCAACCUGGUUUACCCUGACUGUAGAUUUUGGGAAUUCUCCAGGUCUUACCCUGGAAAUGGACUUGGCAUAAUCCACCCAGACAAUUCCAUUUAUUUAUGCCACUUGUUCCCAUUUUCCUUGGAGAAAACGAAAUAACCUGCCCACAGAUGCGAUGAUCAAAACAAAACCCCCACCCCGACAUCAGCAGCACUGCUGGCCUGACCAGAGAUGAAUUAAAGGAUUAAUCCCAAUAAAUGGUGUGAAUUCCCAGAGUGCUUUCACUGCUCCCUGGAAUCACCAGCCCAGCCUGAAGGCGAUGCUGAGCAAAUGCCCUGUACUGCUACACCUGCAACUGGGAGCAGAGCAACUGGAGGUGCCUGAAGGCUGAGAAGUGCUCGGACAAGGACGAGUACUGCGUCACCAACGUGGCCUCCGUGGGGAUCGGCUUUUUGUCCCUUUGGAAGAGGAUCACCAAGAAGUGCUCCAGCACCUGCCCACACCACAAUUUCCUGCUGGGCCUGGCCACCUACACCUCCUACUGCUGCCAAAGCUUCCUGUGCAACCUGAGUGCGUGCCCAGGGCCCCGGCUGGCUCGCCCCUGAGCCCCAUCCCGGGUCCUCCUUCAGCUGCUGGGAGAAAAUGGAUCCUGGAGGACUGGAGAUCUUGGCCAGAUCCCCCCAGGAGGGUGUGGACAUCAAACAUGAGGGAUAGAUGAAGUAUUGUUGUCGUGGUCUUGUCCUGUGGUGUCUCCCAACCUUUCUGCUCGUUUUUCUUCUGAGCUCUGUGUCUCCAGCAGCUCAGAGC